rnacentral:rRNA from 1 species
AUGGGAACAAUAUCCCGAUGCAAAUCCUCUCGAUUCGAUCCGUUCGUUUCGCCUCAUGCAAGACCGACUCCAUAUAAAUACCCCCUCCUCCUCAUCCGAUUUUCGCAAAAAUUGGAAGGUUUCGAUCUUGUUUCACCCCGAUCCAAUCUCGCCGGAGUUCCCCGUCGCCUGAAGGAUGUUUCCGCUGCCACCGAAGACGCGUGCGAGAACAACUCCCCGACGCCUUUCGAAUCUCACCGGAAUUCGCCUCGCUCCAGCCGCUCGCCUUCGUCACCACCGCAAGAACUCGACACCACAGACACUACCAUCGCCAUCGGCGAGACGCGCCGGACCCCGUCGUCUUCCUCUCCAACCCCGAAGACCACCAACAUGAGCGCCACGACCACCACCCAAAGUCGCAGCACCGUUGACGGCCGAGUCGCUCGAGCUCUGAGCUCCGUCCCACGGGCCCCUGCCCGACCCCGUUGCCCAGCGCCGCCCGACGCCACGCCGGAGACGCCGCCCCACCCUGCCUUCGUCUGCCUCGCCGGAGUCGCCGCCUGA